UACGUAGGGGGCAAGCGUUGUCCGGAAUCAUUGGGCGUAAAGAGCGUGUAGGCGGCUCGAUAAGUCUGCUGUGAAAGUCCAGGGCUCAACCCUGGAAGGCCGGUGGAAACUGUCGGGCUAGAGUCCGGAAGAGGCGAGUGGAAUUCCCGGUGUAGCGGUGAAAUGCGCAGAUAUCAGGAGGAACACCCGUGGCGAAAGCGGCUCUCUGGGACGGUACUGACGCUGAGACGCGAAAGCCAGGGGAGCAAACGGG
rnacentral:rRNA from 1 species